GCUUGGGAAAAAAGCACAGGAAAAGCACCGUCCCUGCUUGCACGGAGCUGGUGGGAGCGGGGCUCCAGCGAGGGCACGUGCGUCACAGACAAGCAGUCCAAGCCCUUCCGGGAGCAGCUGCCGGGAUUGGCAGUUUCUUCCUCGCCUGCCCUGCCUGCGUUGUGUUGCAUCUGGUGGGUGGUCGUCAUUUAUCUCACGGACCUCUGAUGAAGGAAAGUGGCUUGUUUCCAAUCUUUUGCUGGUAUGCAGAAGGCCGCAGUGGAGGACCAUGUGCAGAUGUCAAAGUGUGGAGGUGUUUCCAUGGGAUAAAGUCCCUGAACGGGGAUUGUUGAACCAAAGGGGACUUACAUUCGUAAUUUUGAUACGUGUGGCCAGACUGCCUCCAUCCAAAGGCACCGUGCAUUCUUGUCAACAAUGAAUAAAAGUCCCUGUUUGUACACAG